AACGAACGCUAGCGGUGCGUUUCAGGCAUGCAAGUCGAACGGUAACAUGGAGGUGCUUGCACUUCUGAUGACGAGUGGCGCACGGGUGAGUAACGCGUAGGUAAUCUACCAUAAGGUCGGGAAUAACCAUACGAAAGUAUGAUUAAUGCCGGAUAUGCUCUUCGGAGUAAAGAUUUAUCGCCUUAUAACGGGCCUGCGUUAGAUUAGCUAGUUGGUGGGGUAAUAGCCUACCAAGGCAACGAUCUAUAGCCGGGUUGAGAGACCGACCGGCCACAUUGGAACUGAGACACGGUCCAGACUCCUACGGGAGGCAGCAGCUAAGAAUCUUCCGCAAUGGGCGAAAGCCUGACGGAGCGACACCGCGUGAACGAUGAAGGCCCUUCGGGUUGUAAAGUUCUUUUAUAUACGACGAAUGUAUAGUGUAGACCAUACUGACGGUACUAUAUGAAUAAGGUCCGGCUAACUACGUGCCAGCAGCCGCGGUAAUACGUAGGGACCAAGCGUUGUUCGGAAUUAUUGGGCGUAAAGGGUAUGUAGGCGGUUUGAUCAGUCAGAUGUGAAAUUCCUGGGCUUAACCUGGGACUUGCGUCUGAUACUGUCUUACUAGAGUUAUGGAGAGGAAGUCGGAAUUUCCGGUGUAGGGGUGAAAUCUGUAGAUAUCGGAAAGAACACCAAUUGCGAAGGCUGACUUCUGGACAUUAACUGACGCUGAUGUACGAAAGUUAGGGUAGCAAACAGGAUUAGAGACCCUGGUAGUCCUAACGGUAAACGUUGUAUACUAGGUGGCGGGAUGUUGAUCGUCUCACUGCCGUAGCUAACGCAUUAAGUAUACCGCCUGGGGAGUAUGCUGGCAACGGUGAAACUCAAAGGAAUUGACGGGAGCCCGCACAAGCAGUGGAGCAUGUUGUUUAAUUCGAUGAUACGCGAGGAACCUUACCAGGUCUUGACAUAUACCUGAAUUAGGUAGAGAUAUCUAAGUCUUCGGACAGGUAAACAGGUGCUGCAUGGUUGUCGUCAGCUCGUGCCGUGAGGUGUUGGGUUAAGUCCCGCAACGAGCGCAACCCUUAUCCUUUGUUGCUAACACUCCGGGUGAGCACUCUAAGGAGACUGCCAGUGACAAACUGGAGGAAGGUGGGGAUGACGUCAAAUCAUCACGGCCCUUAUGACCUGGGCUACAAACGUGCUACAAUGGACGGUACAAAGAGACGCAAUACCGCAAGGAUGAGCAAAUCUCAGAAAACCGCCCUCAGUUCGGAUUGGAGUCUGCAACUCGACUCCAUGAAGAUGGAAUUGCUAGUAAUCGCAUAUCAGCCAUGAUGCGGUGAAUACGUUCCCGGGCCU
rnacentral:rRNA from 1 species